AAGACCUUUGAACCAACGCUACUAACCCCAACCCACACAUCUACUACCUUUUCUUCCUUCCGCGCUUUCUGUUUGCCUUUCGAUCCUCGCUCAAGCUGCGCAUAACACCCUCUCCUUUCACGCGCUCGACUUUUCCUUCCACCCCCUCCCCGUGUAAACCAUGGCCACCACGUACGAGGAGUUUUCGGCGAAGCUGGACCGCCUGGAUGAGGAGUUCAACAGGAAGAUGCAGGAGCAGAACGCCAAGUUCUUUGCGGACAAGCCGGAUGAGUCGACGCUGUCGCCCGAGAUGAAGGAGCACUACGAGAAGUUCGAGCGCAUGAUCAAGGAACACACAGAGAAGUUCAACAAGAAGAUGCACGAGCACUCGGAGCACUUCAAGCAGAAGUUCGCCGAGCUGCUCGAGCAGCAGAAGGCUGCGCAGAACAUGUGCAAGUAGCACUAGAAACAGUUAAGCGGCUCGAAGCAUGCCGGAUACCACCAGGACUCGCAUAUUUGUGCAUGCCGGUGCUUGCCGAUGUUUGCAUGAGCGCUUUCGGGCAGGGGAAGAGGUUGAAGGCAAAGAAACACCAAUGAUUUGCCCUGGAAUGCAAGUACGAAGACGACAGCGGUGCAUCGAGAGUCGGGGGUGUGGUUUUAUGAGCGUCUCAGCAGUAAGAGGCACAGCGGUGUGCGCGCCUCCCUUUGUGGGCGUAUGGCCAGGCGUUUGCCACAGGCGUCGCUCGUGUGCCCACGAACGGUAUGUGUGUGUGUGUCCGCCCGGCGCGUGGAUGCGUGGAUGGCGCAGCUCAGCAGGGAGAGCCGGAUAGCAGUUGAGGGAAGGAGAUUAAGAGUGCAGGUGAGAGGGUGCGCCGCCUCCCGACCUUCUCUCUGAAGCUUUCCAUUGAAACGAUCUAUACUCUUGUGUGCGCAAGCCCCAGCUUGUGGCCGUGGUAGAGCCGAGGUAAUGCCGAACGAGCAGUGAGGUAGAAACGUGCAAUGCUGAAGGUUUCUUGUUAUUUUGUUUUCUCGACGUGCGCCGCUUUUCCGUAUCGUGCCCUUUCAUGUUCGUGAAUUGGUCAAAGGCGCGGGGAACGCGCCGUGAGGCGAACGGUGCGGUGGUGAAGCCGUGCGGUCGCGUCUGUUAACCUUCGCGUGUACCCCAUCGCCAUCUGCGUUCCCGUCCCCUGCGCUCUGCUGCCCCUUUUGCCGUAUACAUCCUCUACCGUCAACGUGCGCACAUCUCUAGAGUGCCAGUAUCGGCGAGAGGGAGCGUGGAGCGGGGCUGGGUGAGUGGGAAGUGCGAGAAGCGAACGGGUGCCAUCUGCUCUAGUCUUGGUAAAGCCCCCGAGUACAACUUAAGCUGGCUUUUUGGUCACAACAUGCGUCGGGUUCAGUGUCUGGCACCGAACUUUGCCUGCGUGCACACCUUUCCAUCCCCAUGCGCGUUCCUCUUUUUGGGACAUCUUGAGCCCCUGCACGACUCGCUUCCCGACAUCCCCUACUCUUAUUUCUCUUUUUGUUGGAUUCGUCUUUUGAUCCAGGCACCUUCUCAGAGGCGUGACGGCUGUCCUCGUGUUGACCCGCUCUUCUUCCUCGUCCUCUCUCCUGUCCGGUUGUAUCUUCACUGCGCAUUUUUUCGUCUCCCUGGACUCCACUGUACACCUCCCUCUUGACUCUUCCCUCAUAUUUCUUAUUUUUCAACACCCCUCCCACACACACACAUACACGGCCGAGGCCCGUAGGGCGUCGGAGAGAGUGCGCGCGGGGACCCUGAGAGAGAAAGCGAGAGAAGCACGCAAAGCCGAGGCCGGCAGUCGGGAAAACAUGAGGCGGGCGAAGAAAGGCCAUGCAGUGAGGUGCAUCUUCGGCAGAUGAACACGCAGUGUGUUGCCGUUCCCCACCCCCUUUUUGCCACCCGUACACAUACGCAAACACGUAUACGUGUGUGUGUGUUGAGGAUGGAUGGACGCUGCGUGCGCAUCAGCCCUCUUAUAUUUUUGGCUACCCGCUGCCGCUGCUCUCUCUAAUAUUACCACCUCUUCUCUUGUUUCCCUUCUUGGCGUUAGCUCAGGAGGUCUUCAUGGGAAAGCGCUGCAAAGAGCACGGCCACCAACCACGCAUACCUUGGCGACCUUUUUUUUUUGCUUCACACCCUUCUCCUCCACGCAGGUUGAAGCUGGCUGCCGUUGCUCUUGCCUGCGGAACGACGCUACUGUAGCUAAUUCUCUUUCGCGAGCUCUCUCUCACACGAUUGGUGUGCGUGUGUGGGAUAGGUGCGUUACUUUCCUUUUUUUUUUCCGCUUCUUCAUGCUUCUUGCGUCUUCCUUUUUUUUGUCGUUUAUUGCUCUCGCUCUUUCUUUUGCGUCUCGCGCACUUCUCUUUCUCUUGCUUCACUCUUCGACUGCGCUGCCCCUCCCAUAUAUCAUUCAAACAACACACACACACACAUACACACAUAAAAACCUCUCGAAAAGGGGAAAAAACG
rnacentral:misc_RNA from 1 species